GGCCUCAAAUAAUGUGUGACUAUUUUCUAAAUUUAAUCAUGACGGGCGAUUUCU
rnacentral:rRNA from 1 species